rnacentral:rRNA from 1 species
CUACGGGACGCAGCAGUGAGGAAUUUUGCGCAAUGGGCGAAAGCCUGACGCAGCGACGCCGCGUGGAGGACGAAGGUCUUCGGAUCGUAAACUCCUGUCAAGCGGGACGAAUCCUGAGGGGAUGAAUAAGCCUCUCAGUUGACGGUACCGCUGGAGGAAGCCCCGGCUAACUCCGUGCCAGCAGCCGCGGUAAUACGGAGGGGGCCAGCGUUGUUCGGAAUUAUUGGGCGUAAAGGGCGCGUAGGCGGCUAAGCAAGUCGGACGUGAAAUCCCUCGGCUCAACCGAGGAACUGCCUCCGAUACUGCUUGGCUUGAGUCCCGGAGAGGGUAGCGGAAUUCCCAGUGUAGCGGUGAAAUGCGUAGAUAUUGGGAGGAACACCAGUGGCGAAGGCGGCUACCUGGACGGGUACUGACGCUGAGGCGCGAAAGCGUGGGGAGCAAACAGGAUUAGAUACCCUAGUAGUC